GAUGAAGAACGCAGCGAAAUGCGAUAAGUAAUGUGAAUUGCAGAAUUCAGUGAAUCAUCGAAUCUUUGAACGCACAUUGCGCCCGCUAGUAUUCUGGCGGGCAUGCCUGUCCGAGCGUCAUUUCAACCCUCAAGCCCCCGGGCUUGGUGUUGGGGAUCGGCGAGCCUCCGCGCCCGCCGUCCCCUAAAUCUAGUGGCGGUCUCGCUGUAGCUUCCUCUGCGUAGUAGCACACCUCGCACUGGGAAACAGCGCGGCCACGCCGUUAAACCUCCAACUUCUGAACGUUUGACCUCGGAUCAGGUAGGAAUACCCGCUGAACUUAAGCAUAUCAAUAAGCGGAGGA
rnacentral:misc_RNA from 1 species